rnacentral:rRNA from 1 species
AGUGAACGCUGGCGGUAGGCCUAACACAUGCAAGUCGAACGGCAGCACAGUAAGAGCUUGCUCUUACGGGUGGCGAGUGGCGGACGGGUGAGGAAUACAUCGGAAUCUACUUUUUCGUGGGGGAUAACGUAGGGAAACUUACGCUAAUACCGCAUACGACCUACGGGUGAAAGCAGGGGAUCUUCGGACCUUGCGCGAUUGAAUGAGCCGAUGUCGGAUUAGUGAGUUGGCGGGGUAAAGGCCCACCAAGGCGACGAUCCGUAGCUGGUGUGAGAGGAUGACCAGAGAAGCUGGGACUGAGAGACGGACGAGACUCCUACGGGAGGAAGCAGUGGGGAAUUUUGGACGAUGGGGGCAACCCUGAUCCAGCAAUCCCGCGUGUGAGAUGAAGGCCUUCGGGUUGUAAAGCACUUUGGGAAGGAAAGAAACGUCGCGGGCUAAUACCCCGUGGAACUGAGGGUACCUGAAGAAUAAGCAGCGGCUAACUACGUG